UGGGCUUUUAUAUAAGCUAAGCUUCUAACUUAGUAAGGCGAAAAAUUUUCGCGAGUCCUA
rnacentral:tRNA from 1 species